AUUGAACGCUGGCGGCAGGCUUAACACAUGCAAGUCGAGCGGAGAGAGGUAGCUUGCUACUGAUCUUAGCGGCGGACGGGUGAGUAAUGCUUAGGAAUCUGCCUAUUAGUGGGGGACAACAUUUCGAAAGGAAUGCUAAUACCGCAUACGUCCUACGGGAGAAAGCAGGGGAUCUUCGGACCUUGCGCUAAUAGAUGAGCCUAAGUCGGAUUAGCUAGUUGGUGGGGUAAAGGCCUACCAAGGCGACGAUCUGUAGCGGGUCUGAGAGGAUGAUCCGCCACACUGGGACUGAGACACGGCCCAGACUCCUACGGGAGGCAGCAGUGGGGAAUAUUGGACAAUGGGCGCAAGCCUGAUCCAGCCAUGCCGCGUGUGUGAAGAAGGCCUUAUGGUUGUAAAGCACUUUAAGCGAGGAGGAGGCUACUUUAGUUAAUACCUAGAGAUAGUGGACGUUACUCGCAGAAUAAGCACCGGCUAACUCCGUGCCAGCCGCCGCAGUAAUAC
rnacentral:rRNA from 1 species